rnacentral:rRNA from 1 species
GAGGCCAAUAGCGGAUAUAACUCUCAUGCUGGAGUGCCGAGAGUUGGAAACGUUCCGGCGCUGUAGGAUGUGGCUGCGGCCGAUUAGGUAGAUGGUGGGGUAACGGCCCACCAUGCCGAUAAUCGGUACAGGUUGUGAGAGCAAGAGCCUGGAGACGGUAUCUGAGACAAGAUACCGGGCCCUACGGGGCGCAGCAGGCGCGAAACCUUUACACUGC